AGACUUGUGGUGGUUCAUCAUUGUGGCUGUGGGUUUAGCCACACUUUUAAUAAUCACUGUGGCUGUCAUCAGAUGGAAGAAAACUAAAGGGAACAGAACACAGAUGGAUAAAAACAAAAGACUGAGCUUAAACCCUGCAGAGACUCCAGAAACCAGUCAGGACACGG